AGAAGACAUUGUGUCUUCGAGUCGUUGAUUUCACACUGCCGAGAAAAGCCUCUAGAUAGAAAAUAGGUGCCCGUACCGCAAACCGACACAGGUAGUCAAGAUGAGAAUUCUAAGGUGAGCGAGCGAACUCUCGUUAAGGAACUCGGCAAAAUGACCCCGUAACUUCGGGAGAAGGGGUGCUGACUUAAAGUCAGCCGCAGUGAAUAGGCCCAAGCAACUGUUUAUCAAAAACACAGCUCUCUGCUAAAUCGUAAGAUGAUGUAUAGGGGGUGACGCCUGCCCGGUGCUGGAAGGUUAAGA
rnacentral:rRNA from 1 species